GCUGCACGAAUGAGGAAAAAUAGUGCGGAGGAAAUGGGAUGGAGCACAGCCGACUUUCACAAUAAUGUGUGACGUCGAAUUUAAUUGGAAAUGGCGUUUCACCAGCAUCCUGGUCUCGUUGGAUUGCAUAAAGAGCACUGACACAGCGACAGUGUUUUAUUUUAUCUCCAUAGCAGCAAAACAACAUUGUGUCUAAGAGAUGUUCUGGAGCAGAAGGAUUGUGACUCUUUAAAAUAGACUGAGGAACAGGAGCUCCUGACCCAUAAUCCUCUGCUCUUCGGCUCCGGUCUGUUUCCAACAAUACCAACCCAUCCAGCCCCUGGAUUAACACCGACACACUGUGUGAGAUACUAUGACUCUACUAGAGAGAAGAAGGAGAACACUUGACACAUGAACUCAGGAAUCAUUCAUGUGCUGCAGUCUCUGUUUAAUACAACAGCAAACAUCACUAAUACAACAUUGUGAUCUUAUAUCACAUAAUGCACUGCUUCUCUGCUUCUGGUUCCAUUAAGAACCCUUAACAUCCAUGGAAUCUUUCCAUUCCACUUAAGGUUCUUUAAAGUGGAAAAAUGUUGAGAAAGAACAUCUUUUUUUUUUUUUUUUGCAUAGAGUUAAUCAAGGUCCUGUGGGACAUCCGACACCCGAGUGUCUGUCCUGGAAGGGACGUCCCGAGCCGUCAGUGCUGUUAAUGACAGCGGGAUCAGACAGAGCUGCUCAUUGUCUCGGCCGCCGCAUUAAGACUGUAUUAGAUUACAGGCCGCACACAGAAAUAACACUGCAGGCUUUGACUUUAUCCCAGCAGAAGAAAAAAGUACUGCCACCUGUUCUGAGAGUCACUCAGUGAGGGGCAGAAAUCACCCGCAUGAUGAUCAGUGUCUCUACCUGAUCCAUGGAUGAUAUUCUCUGAUGUCACAUCCUGUUCUGAAGAAAACUCUGUUACUUUCAAACAUGAAUCUGCUCUACAACACGCCCCCUCCUGCUAAUUGGCUCACUCUCCUCCCCCAUCAUGAGUGGACACGCCCCCUGCUGAUUGGCUACAAGUGUCCAAUCCACUUUCAACAGCGUUUCUCAGAAAUUGCUUACUGCACCUUUAAAUCUUUUAUUCAAUAUAUUAUGCCUUAUGGAGGAAACAUGAACAUGUACUGACACACACAUUAUAUAUAUAUAUAUAUAUAUAUAUAUAUAU